rnacentral:lncRNA from 1 species
GUCGCCUCCAAGGGACAGAAGACGUGACGUCUGCAGAGAGGCUGCAGGAGGAGGCUCGGUCACUGCAGCGGGCUGGGAGGCCUGGGCGACUGCUCUCUUCACCCUCGGCUGCUCUGAGAGCCGGCCCAAGCUCGGGGAAGCCGCAGUGGGAAGGCCACCUGCUGGCACCUCCACACUCUGAGAACAGGGGCCAGAGGCAGAGCCUGGGGCAGACUCCCCUGGACCAGGAGCAAGCUAUGGCUGAGCGGGAGUCCCAUGGCACAUCUAUCGAGCCCCCCAGCCUCAACGAGGCACUGUCCCAGGCCACCCAGGAUGGCGCACCAUGUCCCUUUGAUCCAAGGGCACACCAGGCUCAUUUUCACACAAAUCAAUUGAAAAUGUUAGAAAAGGGCAAGGAAGCGGUGGGGGGAGGUGAGGUGGGGUUGCCACAGCCACCAGCGAACCCGGUGAUUUCAUUUUCCGUGACUAUUUACUCUGAUACAGAAUAAAAAUUGAAUUUGUUGCUAUGGCAACUGCCACAUCACACAGCCCCUCUCCUGACUUUAAGUCCCAGAAAAGUAUGGAAAAGGCAUUAAUGAGCCCAUGUGACGCGGGGAGCCCCGCGCCUUGAAUAGACCUCAGGGGAAAGGGAUCCUUUGUAAGAAACUCCUGUUUGUCCACACACGUUACCAUGUCACACGUAUUCACAUGUGAUCUCUGCUUGAGAAGCCAGGUCGAGGACAGGUCAGGGGCGGAGGAAGGGACGUGCUGCGAGUGCCACUGCUGGGCACCAUCCCACUCGGAGCUGUCCAUCAAGUCCACUGUCUUCACGGGGAGCUGACUGGGUGCAGGACUGCUCAGGGGCCUGGACUUCCGUCCACCCUGCUCUCCCGGGUCUUGGAAGGGCUGACCCGGAGCAGCCUGGGAUGGAUGGCCCGGGAGGUUAUGUGAUUCCAUGCAGGUCUCCCUUUCCAGGGCAAAUCAGGAGUACUUACAAGGAACAGGCGGUUUUUAGGACUCAUGUGCUUUUGUGUUUAAGAGAAAAAUGGUUUCUCCUCCCGAGGAAUGCAGAUGGAAGGAGGGUGAGCGCAGCAGGGAGGGACAGGGAGUGGCCUUACCCUGGCCUGGGCCCCUGGGCCUCCUUCAUGUCCCAAGACCUGCAGAGGCUUGGCCACUGCUCCUGGACCAUGCCAAGGAGGUCGCUGGACCAGCUUUGGGGAGGCAAGCACCCGUCACCUGAAACCUUCUCCUUCCGGCUGGGGACCAGUGUGUGCGGCCUGGUUUUCCCUGGCUCAGGGGGUCUGGCCUGCACACUGGUUCUUGGACCAACCUGGACCAAGCCUGGUCGAGAUGGAGUCCACUGCCCACCUGUCCAAGGCCCCCAGCCUCAGCUCUCUCAGGUGCCCCUGAGCACCUGUAACCAGGGCAUCAGCACCAUCUCACGCUCAGUCCCUGCCUCACUGCCACACCCUGGUGGCAACCCUGACCUCUGCACCCUUCCAAAUCCCCACACUUCUCCUGGGAGGGGGUGUCUGUCCUCCCAUCAGACGCUCUUGAGCACAUGGUUCCUCACUUCCCGUCAGCCCAAAGGCACGUGGAGGCAUGCUCAGUGUGGCUGGGAGGGCUUCCUGGGACCACGGGGGUGCUUCCCAGGGGAACAUGGUUGACUUGCAGACAUGGUGGCCUGGGAGAAUCCUAUUACACGCCAGUACAAGCAUGCCACAUGAAAUACACCCGCUGUUUUGUAUAUUUGCCA